rnacentral:rRNA from 1 species
CCUACGGGUGGCUGCAGUGGGGAAUAUUGCACAAUGGGGGAAACCCUGAUGCAGCAACGCCGCGUGAGCGAUGAAGGCCUUCGGGUCGUAAAGCUCUGUCCUAAGGGAAGAAUACUGACGGUACCUUAGGAGGAAGCCCCGGCUAACUACGUGGCAGCAGCCGCGGCAAUACGUAGGGGGCUAGCGUUACCCGGAUUUACUGGGAGUAAAGGGUGCGCAGGCACCCCUUCCAGGUGAAGGUGAAAGGCUACGGCUCAACCGUAGUAAGCCUUUGAUACUGGAGGCCUUGUGUGCAGGAUAGGAGAGUGGAAUUCCCGUUGUAGCGGUGAAAUGCGUAGUUAUUGGGAGGAUCAUCAGUUGCGAAGGCGGCUCUCUGGCCUGUAACUGACGCUGGGGCACGAAAGCGUGGGGAGCGAACAGGAUUAGAUACCCUUGUAGUC